rnacentral:rRNA from 1 species
CCUUAAAGAACCUGCCUUUGUAGUGCUCACACAGAUUGUCUGAUGAACGUAAAGAAGCAAGGCGUCUUGCGAUUGAGACUUCAGUGUCCCCUUCGUCUAGAGGCCCAGGACACCGCCCUUUCACGGCGGUAACAGGGGUUCGAAUCCCCUAGGGGACGCCACUUGCUGGUUCGUGAGUGAAAGACGCGUGCCGAUGUAUCUCAAAACUCAUCUUCGGGUGAUGUUUGAGAUAUUUGCUCUUUAAAAAUCUGGAUCAAGCUGAAAAUUGAAACGACACACAGUNAGGUGCGAAAGCGUGGGGAGCAAACAGGAUUAGAUACCCUGGUAGUCCACGCCGUAAACGAUGUCGAUUUGGAGGUUGUGCCCUUGAGGCGUGGCUUCCGGAGCUAACGCGUUAAAUCGACCGCCUGGGGAGUACGGCCGCAAGGUUAAAACUCAAAUGAAUUGACGGGGGCCCGCACAAGCGGUGGAGCAUGUGGUUUAAUUCGAUGCAACGCGAAGAACCUUACCUGGUCUUGACAUCCACAGAACUUUCCAGAGAUGGAUUGGUGCCUUCGGGAACUGUGAGACAGGUGCUGCAUGGCUGUCGUCAGCUCGUGUUGUGAAAUGUUGGGUUAAGUCCCGCAACGAGCGCAACCCUUAUCCUUUGUUGCCAGCGGUUCGGCCGGGAACUCAAAGGAGACUGCCAGUGAUAAACUGGAGGAAGGUGGGGAUGACGUCAAGUCAUCAUGGCCCUUACGACCAGGGCUACACACGUGCUACAAUGGCAUAUACAAAGAGAAGCGACCUCGCGAGAGCAAGCGGACCUCAUAAAGUAUGUCGUAGUCCGGAUUGGAGUCUGCAACUCGACUCCAUGAAGUCGGAAUCGCUAGUAAUCGUAGAUCAGAAUGCUACGGUGAAUACGUUCCCGGGCCUUGUACACACCGCCCGUCACACCAUGGGAGUGGGUUGCAAAAGAAGUAGGUAGCUUAACCUUCGGGAGGGCGCUUACCACUUUGUGAUUCAUGACUGGGGUGAAGUCGUAACAAGGUAACCGUAGGGGAACCUGCGGUUG